rnacentral:rRNA from 1 species
GGGUUGUGAGGUUAAGCGACUAAGCGUACACGGUGGAUGCCCUGGCAGUCAGAGGCGAUGAAGGACGUGCUAAUCUGCGAUAAGCGUCGGUAAGGUGAUAUGAACCGUUAUAACCGGCGAUUUCCGAAUGGGGAAACCCAGUGUGAUUCGUCACACUAUCAUUAACUGAAUCCAUAGGUUAAUGAGGCGAACCGGGGGAACUGAAACAUCUAAGUACCCCGAGGAAAAGAAAUCAACCGAGAUUCCCCCAGUAGCGGCGAGCGAACGGGGAGCAGCCCAGAGCCUGAAUCAGUGUGUGUGUUAGUGGAAGCGUCUGGAAAGGCGUGCGAUACAGGGUGACAGCCCCGUACACAAAAAUGCACAUGCUGUGAGCUCGAUGAGUAGGGCGGGACACGUGGUAUCCUGUCUGAAUAUGGGGGGACCAUCCUCCAAGGCUAAAUACUCCUGACUGACCGAUAGUGAACCAGUACCGUGAGGGAAAGGCGAAAAGAACCCCGGCGAGGGGAGUGAAAAAGAACCUGAAACCGUGUACGUACAAGCAGUGGGAGCACAGAGCAAUCUGUGUGACUGCGUACCUUUUGUAUAAUGGGUCAGCGACUUAUAUUCUGUAGCAAGGUUAACCGAAUAGGGGAGCCGAAGGGAAACCGAGUCUUAACUGGGCGUUAAGUUGCAGGGUAUAGACCCGAAACCCGGUGAUCUAGCCAUGGGCAGGUUGAAGGUUGGGUAACACUAACUGGAGGACCGAACCGACUAAUGUUGAAAAAUUAGCGGAUGACUUGUGGCUGGGGGUGAAAGGCCAAUCAAACCGGGAGAUAGCUGGUUCUCCCCGAAAGCUAUUUAGGUAGCGCCUCGUGAAUUCAUCUCCGGGGGUAGAGCACUGUUUCGGCAAGGGGGUCAUCCCGACUUACCAACCCGAUGCAAACUGCGAAUACCGGAGAAUGUUAUCACGGGAGACACACGGCGGGUGCUAACGUCCGUCGUGAAGAGGGAAACAACCCAGACCGCCAGCUAAGGUCCCAAAGUCAUGGUUAAGUGGGAAACGAUGUGGGAAGGCCCAGACAGCCAGGAUGUUGGCUUAGAAGCAGCCAUCAUUUAAAGAAAGCGUAAUAGCUCACUGGUCGAGUCGGCCUGCGCGGAAGAUGUAACGGGGCUAAACCAUGCACCGAAGCUGCGGCAGCGACGCUUAUGCGUUGUUGGGUAGGGGAGCGUUCUGUAAGCCUGCGAAGGUGUGCUGUGAGGCAUGCUGGAGGUAUCAGAAGUGCGAAUGCUGACAUAAGUAACGAUAAAGCGGGUGAAAAGCCCGCUCGCCGGAAGACCAAGGGUUCCUGUCCAACGUUAAUCGGGGCAGGGUGAGUCGACCCCUAAGGCGAGGCCGAAAGGCGUAGUCGAUGGGAAACAGGUUAAUAUUCCUGUACUUGGUGUUACUGCGAAGGGGGGACGGAGAAGGCUAUGUUGGCCGGGCGACGGUUGUCCCGGUUUAAGCGUGUAGGCUGGUUUUCCAGGCAAAUCCGGAAAAUCAAGGCUGAGGCGUGAUGACGAGGCACUACGGUGCUGAAGCAACAAAUGCCCUGCUUCCAGGAAAAGCCUCUAAGCAUCAGGUAACAUCAAAUCGUACCCCAAACCGACACAGGUGGUCAGGUAGAGAAUACCAAGGCGCUUGAGAGAACUCGGGUGAAGGAACUAGGCAAAAUGGUGCCGUAACUUCGGGAGAAGGCACGCUGAUAUGUAGGUGAAGUCCCUCGCGGAUGGAGCUGAAAUCAGUCGAAGAUACCAGCUGGCUGCAACUGUUUAUUAAAAACACAGCACUGUGCAAACACGAAAGUGGACGUAUACGGUGUGACGCCUGCCCGGUGCCGGAAGGUUAAUUGAUGGGGUUAGCGCAAGCGAAGCUCUUGAUCGAAGCCCCGGUAAACGGCGGCCGUAACUAUAACGGUCCUAAGGUAGCGAAAUUCCUUGUCGGGUAAGUUCCGACCUGCACGAAUGGCGUAAUGAUGGCCAGGCUGUCUCCACCCGAGACUCAGUGAAAUUGAACUCGCUGUGAAGAUGCAGUGUACCCGCGGCAAGACGGAAAGACCCCGUGAACCUUUACUAUAGCUUGACACUGAACAUUGAGCCUUGAUGUGUAGGAUAGGUGGGAGGCUUUGAAGUGUGGACGCCAGUCUGCAUGGAGCCGACCUUGAAAUACCACCCUUUAAUGUUUGAUGUUCUAACGUUGACCCGUAAUCCGGGUUGCGGACAGUGUCUGGUGGGUAGUUUGACUGGGGCGGUCUCCUCCUAAAGAGUAACGGAGGAGCACGAAGGUUGGCUAAUCCUGGUCGGACAUCAGGAGGUUAGUGCAAUGGCAUAAGCCAGCUUGACUGCGAGCGUGACGGCGCGAGCAGGUGCGAAAGCAGGUCAUAGUGAUCCGGUGGUUCUGAAUGGAAGGGCCAUCGCUCAACGGAUAAAAGGUACUCCGGGGAUAACAGGCUGAUACCGCCCAAGAGUUCAUAUCGACGGCGGUGUUUGGCACCUCGAUGUCGGCUCAUCACAUCCUGGGGCUGAAGUAGGUCCCAAGGGUAUGGCUGUUCGCCAUUUAAAGUGGUACGCGAGCUGGGUUUAGAACGUCGUGAGACAGUUCGGUCCCUAUCUGCCGUGGGCGCUGGAGAAUUGAGGGGGGCUGCUCCUAGUACGAGAGGACCGGAGUGGACGCAUCACUGGUGUUCGGGUUGUCAUGCCAAUGGCACUGCCCGGUAGCUAAAUGCGGAAGAGAUAAGUGCUGAAAGCAUCUAAGCACGAAACUUGCCCCGAGAUGAGUUCUCCCUGACUCCUUGAGAGUCCUGAAGGAACGUUGAAGACGACGACGUUGAUAGGCCGGGUGUGUAAGCGCAGCGAUGCGUUGAGCUAACCGGUACUAAUGAACCGUGAGGCUUAACCUUACAACGCCGAAG